GUGCUUGCUUCAGCAGCACACAUACUAAAAUUGGAACGAUACAGAGAUUAGCUUGGCUCCUGCACAAGAAUGACACGCAAAUCUGUGAAGCGUUCCAUAUUUUU
rnacentral:snRNA from 1 species